UAUGGCCAUAUCAUAUUGAAACACCAGUUUCCAUAUGAUCACCAAAGUUAAGCAAUGUUGAGCCUGGUCAGAACUAAGAUGGAUGAUUGUUUGGGAAUACCAUGUAUUGUAAG